AUGUUUUCUGCUGCUCUGCUGCUGAUCUUAGCAGCUCAAGGUCAGUUUUGGUGUGAACAGCUGAGUCAGCCAACCUCUGUGACUGUGCAGCCAGGUCAGCGUCUGACCAUCAGCUGUCAGGUCUCUUAUUCUCUCAGUGACUACUGGACAGCUUGGAUCAGACAGCCUGCAGGAAAAGGACUGGAGUGGAUCGGGAUGAAAUAUUCUGGAAACUCUUUCUAUAAAGAUUCGCUGAAGAACAAGUUCAGCAUUGAUUUAGACUCUUCCAGUAAAACAGUGACUCUGAAUGGACAGAACAUGCAGCCUGAAGACUCUGCUGUGUAUUACUGUGCCAGAGAGCCACAGUGA